GAUGAAGAACGCAGCGAAAUGCGAUAAGUAGUGUGAAUUGCAGAAUUCAGUGGAUCAUCGAAUCUUUGAACGCACAUUGCGCCCCUUGGUAUUCCGGGGGGCAUGCCUGUUCGAGCGUCAUUUCAACCCUCAAGCUCUGCUUGGUCUUGGGCCUGGCCAUCGUGGCCGGCCUUAAAAUCAGUGGCGGUGCCUGCUGUAGGCUCCAAGCGUAGUACAUCUCUCGCUCUGGAAGCCCGGCGGUGCCUGCCAGACAACCCCUAAAUUGUCUCUUAUGGUUGACCUCGGAUCAGGUAGGGAUACCCGCUGAACUUAAGCAUAUCAAUAAGCGGAGGA
rnacentral:misc_RNA from 1 species